AUUGAACGCUGGCGGCAGGCCUAACACAUGCAAGUCGAACGGAGUGGCGGACGGGUGAGUAAUGCCUAGGAAACUGCCUGUUCGUGGGGGAUAACUUCUGGAAACGGGCGCUUAUACCGCAUACUAUCAGAUGAGCCUAGGUCGGAUUAGCUAGUUGGUGGGGUAAAGGCCUACAAAGGCGACGAUCCGUAACUGGUCUGAGAGGAUGAACAGUAAAACUGGAACUGAGACACGGUCCAGACUCCUACGGGAGGCAGCAGUGGGAAAUAUUGGACAAGGGGCGAAAGCCUGAUGCAGCCAUGCCGCGUGUGUGAAGAAGGUCUUCGGGUUGUAAAGCACUUUAAGUUGGGAGGCGUUACCAGCAGAAUAAGCACCGGCUAACUUCGUGCCAGCAGCCGCGGUAAUUC
rnacentral:rRNA from 1 species